UCGCGGGUAGUUCAAUUGGCAGAACGCCUGACUUUGGAUCAGGAGAGUGCAGGUUCGAGUCCUGCCCCGCGAGCAA
rnacentral:tRNA from 1 species